UGGGUUGUUGUGUUGAGGGUUUGGUGGGUGGAGUCUUGGGUUGUUGUGUUGAGGGUUUGGUGGGUGGAGUCUUGGGUUGUUGUGUUGAGGGUUUGGUAGGUGGAGUCUUGGGUUGUUGUAUUGAGGGUUUGGUAGGUGGAGUCUUGGGUUGUUGUAUUGAGGGUUUGGUAGGUGGAGUCUUGGGUUGUUGUGUUGAGGGUUUGGUAGGUGGAGUCUUGGGUUGUUGUGUUGAGGGUUUGGUAGGUGGAGUCUUGGGUUGUUGUGUUGAGGG
ensembl:lncRNA